rnacentral:rRNA from 1 species
AUACGGAGGGUGCAAGCGUUAAUCGGAAUUACUGGGCGUAAAGCGUACGUAGGCGGUUAUUUAAGUCAGAUGUGAAAGCCCCGGGCUUAACUUGGGAACUGCAUUUGAAACUGGGUAACUAGAGUUUAGUAGAGGGGAGUGGAAUUUCAGGUGUAGCGGUGAAAUGCGUAGAGAUCUGAAGGAGCACCAGUGGCGAAGGCGACUCCCUGGACUAAAACUGACGCUGAGGUGCGAAAGCGUGGGUAGCAAACAGGAUUAGAAACCCCAGUAGUCC